UACGUAGGGGGCAAGCGUUGUCCGGAUUUAUUGGGCGUAAAGAGCGUGUAGGCGGCCAAGCAGGUCAGCUGUGAAAACUCGAGGCUCAACCUCGAGACGUCGGUUGAAACCGCUUGGCUAGAGUCCGGAAGAGGAGAGUGGAAUUCCCGGUGUAGCGGUGAAAUGCGCAGAUAUCGGGAGGAACACCGGUGGCGAAGGCGGCUCUCUGGACCACUACUGACGCUGAGACGCGAAAGCGUGGGGAGCGAACAGG
rnacentral:rRNA from 1 species